AGGACGAACGCUGGCGGCGUGCUUAACACAUGCAAGUCGAAUGAGGCCCAGUCAGUAGCAAUACUGAUGAAGGCCGAGUGGCGAACGGGUGAGUAACACGUGAGAAACCUAUCCUGGUCUCUGGGAUAACAGUCGGAAACAACUGCUAAUACCGGAUGCCGUCGGAGCGCUGCAUGGCGCACUGACGAAAGGGUUACUGGAUCAGGAGGGCCUCGCGGCCUAUCAGCUUGUUGGUGGGGUAAUGGCCUACCAAGGCAUCGACGGGUAGCUGGUCUGAGAGGAUGAUCAGCCACACUGGGACUGAGACAGGCCCAGACUCCUACGGGAGGCAGCAGUGGGGAAUCUUGCGCAAUGGCGAAAGCCUGACGCAGCAACGCCGCGUGCGGAAGAAGGCCCUCGGUGUAAACGCUUUCAGAAGAACGAAACUGACGUACUUCAGAAGAAGGUGCGCCAACUACGUGCCAGCAGCCG
rnacentral:rRNA from 1 species